rnacentral:tRNA from 1 species
GGCAACGUGACGGAGUGGUUAACGUGAUUGACUAGAAUUGUCUCUAGCUUAUCAAUUUCCUUCGGGAGCGUCUGUUCGAAUCAGGCCGUUGUCG